GUUCGGUCCCUAUCCGGCGCGGGCGUAGGAUAUCUGAGAGGAGCUGUCCUUAGUACGAGAGGACCGGGAUGGACGGACCGCUGGUGUAUCAGCUGCAUCGCCAGAUGCAUAAGGCUGGGUAGCCACGUCCGGAAGGGAUAAACGCUGAAGGCAUCUAAGCGUGAAGCCCCCCUCAAGAUGAGAUAUCCCUGACGCAAGUCAGUAAGACCCCUUGGAGAGUACGAGGUAAGAUAGGCACAAGGUGUAAGCGUGGUAACACGUUCAGCUGAUGUGUACUAAUAGGUCGAGGGCUUAUCCA
rnacentral:rRNA from 1 species